UUCUACUUGGAGAGAGACUAUUGGAGUUGUUUUCAUUGCACCAGUGAUUAGACGCAAAUUAUUAUUUUGGAUUGUCUCUAAUUUUUUUAAGAGUGUGGGGUUGGAAGCAAAGCAAAGGUAACUGUACUCAAAGUGAGAACGGACUAUGGAUUUGUACAACAUAAGUAAAAUCUUUGGAUCAGCCCCCCAAAAUGUUUUGGAAAGGCAUUUUAAAAUAUUAAAAGCUCUAGAAGCUUUAUCAGAUAUAUUACAGACAUGCUUAUUCCAAGAUAGAUUUUUUGUUAAUGUUACACCAAGAAACUUGGCUUCAGCUACUACAGGCAGUAUGCUACCAUUAUAAUUAAUAUUAGCAUGCAAAGUUCUUGAUCUACUGAAUAUAACAACUUUAGUUUUAUCUAAACUAAUAUCUAAUUGUAAAUAUUUAAAAUAAACAUUUAAUUUCUUUAGAGCUUUGUUUAUUUUAUUUUCUACUAUAUGAAUAUUUGAGCCUGAACAGUAAACUGCUAAAUCAUCAGCAAACUGUAAAUUGCUGACUUCAUUACCAAGAAUAAUAUUAAUUUUAUGAAUAUACAAAAUAAAUAACAGUGGACUCAAUAUUCCCCCUUGACAUACACCUAUAUAUGAAGAUUGUGGACCAUAUAAAUUAUUAUUGUACUUAACAUAGACUUGUCUAUUAUGUAGGAAAUUAAAAAUCCAGUUAAUCAACUUAUCUGGUAUUCCUAGUGUUUGCAGUUCAUUAGUUAGAAUAUGAUGAUUAACAUUGUUAAAAGCACCAACUAUAUCAAAGAAGACAGAAACCAGUAUAUUGUUACUAGAAAAAGCACGAUGAAUAUCUAGGUUUAAAUGAUUUAAGCUCUCUGUAGCUGAAAAACCUUUCCUGAAGCCAAACUGAUUUGAAGAUAACUGAUAGAGGAGUUUGCCGAUUGAUCGACUCACAGAAUUUUAACCAACUGGCAUUUCUUUCGUUUUUGAGAUGUUACAUAAAAGGUGGGUGAUGGUUGGAAGAUGAUAGCUCCCUAAAGGAUUAUCAUGUACAGACCAAUUGCAUCGGAGUGACAGAGAGGCAGAAACAAUUGUAAGAUCCAGAGCACUUGGACUCCAUAUAUCAGAGCCUACAGUAGUGGGUUGACCAUUAUUAAUUAUACAAAGAUCAUUGUCUUCAAUAGUAUUAAGAAGAAUAGUGCCUCUAGAAUCGGUUCUAGAGCAACCCCAAGUGGUAUUGUGGGCGUUAAAGUCACCCGCUAUUAUCAUAGGUGACGGGAUAGAUUUAAAUAAGUUAUCUAAAUGUAAAUGUGUAAAGUUACGUGACGUUGCGGAUGUAGGGCUGUAAAAACUAACAAAAGAAAUUGUUUCAUUUUUCAAAUAUAAUUUUAAAGCGAUAUUUUGCAAAGAAUCAUCGUGAUAUGUAUUUAAUCUGUCAUAAUUCAAUUUGUUUUGUAUUAGAAUGGCUACACCAUUAUGAUUAUUACCAAUGUCUAAUCUUUCUAUAUUGUAACCUUUGAUAUUAAAGUUUUUGAAAGGCUUUAGCCAAGUUUCAGAAAGAAGGGCGAUAUGUAUAUUGUUGUUAUAUAAAAAAUAAGUAAAAGCAAGUCUAUUAUUUAUCAAGCUCUGGGCAUUCCACUCGAUAAUAUUUAAAAUAUUAUCCAUUAAAGAGAUACUAUUAAUUAGUGUUAGUACUGGAAAUCUUAAAAGUAUCUAAAAUUAUGUUUUUUAUGCCUUCUGAGUUUAAGGGAGAGUCAUCUGUUUUAUUAACAGAAAUAAUUUUAAUAACUGAUGCAAUGAUUAGUUUUAAAAAGUCAUCAUUUUGCAAUAAUGUGUUAAUAUUGUCAGUAGGUUUAGUUUUAGUGUUUAAAGAUGGAAAAGAU